rnacentral:rRNA from 1 species
UGGGGGAUAUUGCACAAUGGGCGAAAGCCUGAUGCAGCGACGCCGCGUGGGGGAUGAAGGCCUUCGGGUUGUAAACUUCUUUUGCUCUGAACAAGGCGCACCAUGGGGUGUGUUGAGUGUAGGGGUUGAUUAGCGCCGGCUAACUACGUGCCAGCAGCCGCGGUAAUACGUAGGGCGCGAGCGUUGUCCGGAAUUAUUGGGCGUAAAGGGCUUGUAGGUGGCUGGUUGCGUCUGUCGUGAAAGCUCAUGGCUUAACUGUGGGUUUGCGGUGGGUACGGGCUGGCUUGAGUGCAGUAGGGGAGGCUGGAAUUCCUGGUGUAGCGGUGGAAUGCGCAGAUAUCAGGAGGAGUACCGGUGGCGAAGGCGGGUCUCUGGGCUGUUACUGACACUGAGGAGCGUAAGCAUGGGGAGCGAACAGG